AGUGAACGCUGGCGGUAGGCCUAACACAUGCAAGUCGAACGGCAGCACAGUAAGAGCUUGCUCUUACGGGUGGCGAGUGGCGGACGGGUGAGGAAUACAUCGGAAUCUACUUUUUCGUGGGGGAUAACGUAGGGAAACUUACGCUAAUACCGCAUACGACCUACGGGUGAAAGCAGGGGAUCUUCGGACCUUGCGCGAUUGAAUGAGCCGAUGUCGGAUUAGCUAGUUGGCGGGGUAAAUGCCCACCAAGGCGACGAUCCGUAGCUGGUCUGAGAGGAUGAUCGGCCACACUGGAAAUGAGACACGGUCCAGACUCCUACGGGAGGCAGCAGUGGGGAAUAUUGGACAAUGGGCGCAAGCCUGAUCCAGCCAUACCGAGUGGGUGAAGAAGGCCUUCGGGUUGUAAAGCCCUUUUGUUGGGAAAGAAAAGCAGCAGGUUAAUACCCCGCUGUUCUGACGGUACCCAAAGAAUAAGCACCGGCUAACUUCGUG
rnacentral:rRNA from 1 species